rnacentral:rRNA from 1 species
UGCUAGUAAUCGCGGAUCAGCAUGCCGCGGUGAAUACGUUCCCGGGCUUUGUACACACCGCCCGUCAAACCAUGAAAGUCGGGGAACACCCCGAAGUCUGUGAGCUGACCGCAAGGAGGCAGCAGCCGAAGGUGGAGCCGGUAACUGGGGUGAAGUCGUAACAAGGUAUC